rnacentral:lncRNA from 1 species
UAAUAUAUAUAUUUUUUUAAUUGGCAUAUUUUGUGUUUUGCUUUGGUACCGAGAACCAUGGAUUUUCACUGGUAUCGGUAUCAAAUACUGAAAUUUGGGUACCGUGACAACACUAUUUAAAAGGUAUACGACUCGCCAAGAAAUAUUUUGAUUGUGUACUGCUCUGCAUACAACUGUAUAAUGUCUAAACGUUAAACCAAUAUGUCUCUAAUGAUCUCUUUGUAAGAGACAAAACCACAGUAAGAUUAUUUAUCGUAAUGUCAUGAUGAGAAUUACAAGAAAUUACCCCAACUCAUGCUCGGCCAACAUCAAAUUGUAGGCUAUUAUUUCUGCUGUUGUGCUCAUGUGUAAAUUGAGGAUAGAACGAACAAGUGAUGAUAUUUGAUACCUUCUGGGGACAUGCAUUGACCUGUAUUUUAACUGUCUUUAUGGGGACACCUUGUUUAAAUGGGGAUUGCAUUAUAUGCAUAAUAUAAUUUGUGUAGAAUUCUCAAGACCUUUAUAUUUGUCUGAUUACAGGUUGUCUUCCAAAUCAACAUGGACUAGGGUUAGGGUUCUUAACAUGAACGACACCGAAAUGGACCAACUUGCUGAUAUCCUGGGACAUGAUAUUCGUAUCCACAGGAAAUAUUACAGAUUACCCGAGGGAACACUAUUAACAGGGUAUGUAACCUGUUAAUCGAGUUUAAACUACCUGUCAAGCGUGUCCUAGUGACUUUGGAAGAAUCUGUGCAUAUCUCUGAAUACGAAGACUAUAUUCAGAGUGCGUUGAGCCUGAUCCUGGGAUGGAGAGUGAAACAGAACUGUCAGAUCAUUCUCAUGACGUGACGUCAAGUGAGACAGGCACUUCAGGAGUGAAUAGCAGCAGGCCAGUAAACACGAAUGAAGGAUCUCCAGAGAGGUCACGGGAGGUCAUGAAAGUAACAUCAGUUCCUAGGAAGAGAAAGUGGAGUGAGGUGGAGAUUGCGGCUGUAGAAGAGACAAUGAUGAAAUUUAUUCACUCGGGAGUUACACCUGGAAAAGUCGACUACAUUGCAUGCAUUACAGCAGCCCCCCAAAGCCCUCUGUGA